UGGAAACAAGAAAACACACCGAUAUCUCAAAGGAGCAAUCCUCCUCCCUCGAGAAGAUAGCCUCGAACCGUUCGAUCCGCGACAAUCAAUUUGCGAAUCUCGAUCGGAGGAGGACACGGAGCGAAGUUCCGGCGCUGCGUGUUGUCGAUCGGCCGUGAAACAUCGAUGAUACGAUGCUGAUCAACCGUGUUCAUCCGUGAUCAUCAGCGGCGUCUUAUCAGCGAAUAUUAAGAAGAGGUUGGUGAACGACCACUCGGAUUUACGGAUCUCUAAUCGGAAUUUAUGGAAGAAAUAUGGAGGUAAUCGAUAAGAAACUAUGGUAAUAAAUAGGCGCGACUGCGGCCGCCACGUGAUUCUGGACCCAUGGUCACCUGGCGAGCUUCUUCCUCGUUGGAACUCUGGCUCGUUUAAAUUAUUUCAACCGCAGACGUUUUCCUGGAACGGUUCUCGUUAUUUAUCCUUUCGCUCGUCGAGGGAAUAUAUAUAUAUAUUUUUCUUUAGAAGAAGAAGAAAUUAAUUAUGCUCCAAGCAUGUUGAUGAUGAAUCCUUCUUAACACAGUGAAAGAAAGAGAUUCUUGGCAUGCGUUAUUAAUUCAACGAUGAUGCUAUUUUUUCAAUAAAUUUGAACGCCAAUUCCAAUAUUAUUAAUAAUUAAUGAACUCGAAGCGAGGAACAAAUUCCUCGGAAGAGAAUAAGUAAUCCUGAUUACACCCCGCCAAGUAUAAAUUCUGAGAUGCUGGCCCAUUACCCGAUCUUCAACGGCCAUAACCAUUUGCAAAGUAAACGAAGGAACAUUGCGUUCCACGCGAACGCCAAACAAUAGUAGUAAUCUACACAGCGAUAUUGGUGUAAUUAGACGCAAACUAGUUACGGGAACCGCAAUUGUUUGACGAUCGCGACGAUUCACCCCGCUCUGGACGCGUCUAUUAGCCCUCUGCCAUCAGGAGACCGCCUAUCAUUCUCACCCGUUAAAAUAAUUCUAUGGCCGCGUUCGAUGCGGCUCGUUGAUCGAGGUUAUUUAAUUCUCGAAACCAGGAGAAAAACCGAACCGUUCAUCGUUCAUGGAAGAGGAGCGGGCGCAUCGUGGAGUGAAUCGAGAGGCAACGAAGCCACGUCAAGUUGAAACCAACCGUUAAACGGCCGUACCACCUUGGGCGAGGCCUACGGCGAGUUGGAGUACGCAUCGAUUGAUUUCGAGUCGAGAUAGCAAAGCAGUUUGUUACAGAAAAUACACGGGAAUUUUGCCCGUACGAGUUUCUUCGCUGAUCGAGCUCUCUUCUCGAUCCUUUUAUACACCGCGUGUAAAUUGCGAAAACGUGUUGCGAAUUAUUUCAACUAUCGCGAAUAAUUUUUCAUUAAAUUCAUCACUCGUUCAAUCUUUGAACGAUUGAAAAAUAGUAGAUAAUUUUAAAAAGUUUUCGAGAAAUAAUUUACCUUACGAAUAACACGAGCGUUUCUUAAAAAAAGAUUUAUCGAAUAAUCAUUGUUCCAUUGAAUAAAGUUUGCUUUAAAACGUUCCUAAACACAAUCUACAAUUUUUAUUUCUCUUCCACUUAUGUAACGAGCUUUCCCCACUCUUCUUCCCUGUCCCAAAAAGAAAUUUAUUCCCGUGACAUUUCUUCGUGCGGAGUGAACACGCGUUAAAUCGGAUCCAAGGAGAAAAGCGCUAAAGCUUCGAAGGCUCAUCGCGGGAUGAGAGAAAUCCAGUUAAUAACGGCGAGGAAUAGCAACGUCGUUGCGAGGCCUCUGCCGGCCUCCAUAAACCAAAACCCCCUCGGGCGAUGUAUUAAGAAUGCACGUGAAUGACGUGAAACGAAUUCCUAUGCAAAGGAGCGGCGUUAUAGUACGGUGUCGGGGCCUGCUUCUAACUAGGCAGCUCGCAUCAUUAACGGGUCUUGUUUGUUUUACAACGGAGAAAGGGACACGCCCAUUUCCUCGUCAUUCUCCUCGGCUCCUUCUGACCGUGGCUCCGAGCGAUGCCCCCGUCCCUUAAUCUCCCCCGGACUCUCUGUCUAUACACGGUGUGUCGUUUGCUCCGGGCCCGCUUUAAUUUCAACUCGAGAAGCCCUUCCGGUUCCAAACUCGCUCUUUGCCCAGCGGUCGCUUUGAGGUUUCUCCCUAAUUUUUGCCCGCUCGCGACUUACCAGGGUGUUCGUCAACCCCCAACCCCCUUGGGCUUGUUUGUCCUAGACGUACGUACGUAUCAAGGAUUAAAUCCUGGCUAUUCCUGGGAAACAAAUUUCUCGUCGAUACACCUCGUUAUUACACGGGUUCUAUGAUCCAUGUGUCCAUAUAAUCGGACGAUCGCCUUCGGAUGAAUAUCCAUCGCUCACGAUUCGUCGAAUGGUUUAUCCAGGCGAUGAUAUAAUAUGCGAAUUUUUCAUUGCGCGAAAUGAAGUAUGCGAUUCUUUUCUUUUCUCCUUUUUUUAUAUUCGAGAAAUGGAGAACUUCGUCCCUCUAUUUUUCUCCUCCUCUUCAAAGAGGACACCCUGUGUGUACGCAAAGAAGGGCCACUCUCGCUCUCGUUCCACCCCACGACGAGCGUAUACAUAUUCAUGGUGUCAUUAGCGGCCCAUGAAACAUGCUAUUGGUAAACGUUUCUGCCGCUCUCUCUUCUCACAGAUGAUCGCGGUACCCUUCUUUUUAUUAUUAUAAAUUAUAUUCGUCGAUUUCGUUUCACAUUUCG
rnacentral:lncRNA from 1 species